rnacentral:lncRNA from 1 species
AUCAUUGCAAUAUAUAAUAAUACAAUUAUCAAUUACUAUUUAAGCUCAUAACACCUUUACUCAAAUCAAAUCCACCACACAAUAAAACAUUGUCAAUCCAUACUUCAAUCCAGGUAAGCCAUGUUAUCACCACUACCCACUACGUUUUCUUCCAUACUCCGGCCACUAGACUUGUUCACCAAAAUAGGGUUUACUUACUAAAGCAGGACUUCCACAAUUAUGUUUACCAAUGUAGGGCC